ACGAAGCGGUGUAAUCAGCUCCUAGCUGAUCUAACACUAUGUAAAGAGGAAAUGGAGAGGGAAAGGAAGAAUGAGGAGGAGAGAGUGAUGGAGAGGGAGAAGGGAGAGGGAGAGAGAGGAGGUGAUGGAGAGGGAAAAGAAGAAUGAGGAGAAGAGAGUGAGGGUGAGGGAGAUGGGAGAGAGAGGAGGAGAUAGGGAGAGAGAGGAGGAGAUGGAGAGGGAAAAGAAGAAUGAGGAGAAGAGAGUGAGGAAGAGGGAGAGAGAGGAGAAAGUGACCCCGGAUUAGGGGUGGAACUGGGCCGGGCUUGGGUCGGGUAAUACUAUGCCCAAGCCCGGCCCAAAAGAAAAUGUUGGGCUUCGGGUCGGGCUUUUAUCCAAUUUUGUUUGAAAAUUAAGGCCUGGCCCAAGCCCAAGCCCAAUGCCCAAUACCCAUCUGGCUUUGUGAAGGCUCAUUUUAUACAUUUAUCAUAUAAUACAUAAAUACUUUUAUUUGUAUAAUAAUAUGUACCAUAUAUUUACUCAUAAAUAUGUAUAAUUAAUUAAUUAUAAAUAAUAAUUCUAUUUAAUAUAUCCUAAUAUGGAACUAAAUAUUUUGUUAAUAUAUAAUAUAUCCCCAUAUAUGUAUAUACCAUUAAUAACACAUAUAUUAUAUAUGAUAUAUUAUAUAAUUUAUUCUUUUUAUAAAUAAAUAUUUUAUAUAUAUAUAAUUAAAUAUUUUAUUUUAAUAAUUAAUAUAUC
rnacentral:lncRNA from 1 species